rnacentral:lncRNA from 1 species
UUCACUCUGAACUUAUUUUGAUUGAUUUAAUGUAUUUUCACAGUCCUCUUCUUUUUUUACCCCGCCCCCACUCUUCUCUUCUUUGCGGACAUUAGUUUCAUCUUUUUGAGGCUGUUGGCAUUUCCCCAAAAAGCUUUUUUUUGGUCAUUGAUUUCUCAAAAAACUAUCUGGUUGCUGAUUUAUUGUGGAGUUCCUCAUCUUUCUUGCAAGCAUCGAUUUUACGCUCCAGUUCUCGAUUUGCUGUCGUUCGCUGGUGCAUUUUUCAGGGCUCUUUUCCUAAAUUCUAACCUUUUAUUUAGAAUUCUAACCUCUCAGAAUUCAGAAAUCUGAAUUCUAGAAGCCUAUUGGUGAAAUUUAGUAUAUGAAACGAUUGAAUCUCGGUAUGCUCCUAGCCUUCAUUCCAAAAAAAAUUCAAGGCUCUUUUCCUGAAUUCUAACCUUUUAUUGAGAAUUCUAACCUCUCAGAAUUCAGAAAUCUGAAUUCUAGGAGCCUAUUGGUGAAAUUUAGUACGUGAAAUGAUUGAAUCUCAGUAUGCUCCUAGCCUUCAUUCGAAAAAAUGAACUAGAAACCUGGUCUUUUCAGUUUGAUUUUAGUAUUUGAUUUGUUUCUCUUCAGUGUUCUCAAAUUUGCAAUGUCAAAUUAAAUGAUUUUAAGUUCUAUCUUUUAUACUUUAGAUUACUAUCGUGCGCAAUAGAACAUCUGACUGUUGAGAUUGUUCAGUUGAUGGUCUCCGAUAUAAGCUUGGCAAUUGGGUGGGCUACAGAAUUCAUCAACACAAUUCGAAAUUCCAUCGAGAAAUCUGAAUUCAGCUCAAUUAAGCUAGGCAAUAUGUUGAAAUCAGCAUAUUGAAUUCAGAUUUCGGCUAGGUGAUUCAGAAUUGAAUAUGUUGAAUUCUAAAUGCGACAUAUUUUGAUUUCCUCCUGCAUAUGUUGGAUCCAGAUAUGCGUCGUUUGUGAUAAUGUUUUGUUGCUUUUGGGGUACUUUGCUUUCCUCGCUUUUAGUCCAGUCCUCCUAUUUUUUCGGAGUUUCUCUUCACUUCUUUUGUCCCAUGCUAUGAUGACCUUCCCCUUGAAUGUGAGAUAUUUGCGAUAAUUGAGAAUGGGCCAGGCCUUCUUGGUUGGUGAUAGGGGCACUUUCGAUGGCCUACUUCUUUACUGGUGAUAGGGGCACUUUGGAUGGCCUACUUCAUAGGCAACCAGUUGGCCUACUUCUUCACUGGUGGUAGGGACACUUUGGACGGCCUUCUUCCUAGGCAACCAAUUGCUCUUAUUUGUGCUAAGAAUGCUUUCAGUAUACAUGUCGGUUCUAACUCAGUCUCCAGUAUUGAGUGGGCAGGUUUCGGCACCAAUCUAAUAAUGUUCAAUGGUCGGGGGAGUCUGAGCAAAAUAUAUUUAUUUUCGCUAUUCGGUUUUCCUUACCUUGCUUCUAUAUAUAUAUGAAU